rnacentral:rRNA from 1 species
UGCCAGCAGCCGCGGUAAUACGGGAGUGGCAAGCGUUAUCCGGAAUCAUUGGGUUUAAAGGGUCCGUAGGCGGUCUGGUAGGUCAGAGGUGAAAUCCUGCAGCUCAACUGUAGCAUUGCCUUUGAUACUGCCAGACUUGAGUUAUUGUGAAGUAGUUAGAAUGUGUAGUGUAGCGGUGAAAUGCAUAGAUAUUACACAGAAUACCAAUUGCGAAGGCAGAUUACUAACAAUUAACUGACGCUGAGGGACGAAAGCGUGGGUAGCGAACAGGAUUAGAUA